rnacentral:rRNA from 1 species
AUCUAUGGCCAUGUUGCCCUGAACAAGCCCAAUCCCAUCUGAUCUCGGAAGCUAAGCAGGGUUGGCCUGGUUAAUACUAGGAUGGGAGACUACCUAGGAAGACCAAGGGCUAUAAAAA